rnacentral:rRNA from 1 species
CUACGGGUUGCAGCAGUAAGGAAUAUUGCGCAAUGGAGGCAACUCUGACGCAGCCAUGCCGCGUGCAGGAAGAAGGCCUUAUGGGUCGUAAACUGCUUUUAUUUAGGAAUAAACCCCCGAACGUGUUCGGGGCUGAAGGUACUAAACGAAUAAGCACCGGCUAACUCCGUGCCAGCAACCGCGGUAAUACGGAGGGUGCAAGCGUUAUCCGGAUUUAUUGGGUUUAAAGGGUGCGCAGGCGGGCUAUUAAGUCAGUGGUGAAAUCCCGGGGCUCAACUCCGGAACUGCCAUUGAUACUGAUAGUCUUGAGUUUGGUUGAAGUGGGCGGAAUGUAGCAUGUAGCGGUGAAAUGCAUAGAUAUGCUACAGAACACCAAUCGCGAAGGCAGCUCACUAAGCCAAAACUGACGCUCAUGCACGAAAGCGUGGGGAUCAAACAGGAUUAGAUACCCUAGUAGUC